rnacentral:rRNA from 1 species
GGAAUAUUGGUCAAUGGACGAGAGUCUGAACCAGCCAAGUCGCGUGAAGGAAGACGGUUCUAUGGAUUGUAAACUUCUUUUGUCUGAGGGUAAAGUUAGGUACGUGUACCUAUUGGAAAGUAUCAGACGAAUAAGCAUCGGCUAACUCCGUGCCAGCAGCCGCGGUAAUACGGAGGAUGCGAGCGUUAUCCGGAUUUAUUGGGUUUAAAGGGUGCGUAGGCGGAUUAUUAAGUCAGCGGUGAAAGCGUGUGGCUCAACCAUACCGAGCCGUUGAAACUGGUAGUCUUGAGUGCAAAUGAGGUAGGCGGAAUGUGACGUGUAGCGGUGAAAUGCUUAGAUAUGUCCCAGAACUCCGAUUGCGAAGGCAGCUUACCAAGAUGUAACUGGCGCUGAUGCACGAAAGCGUGGGUAUCAAACA